rnacentral:tRNA from 1 species
GGAGGAUUGGCCGAGUGGUCGAAGGCGGCAGUCUUGAAAACUGUUGAGCCGCAAGGUUCCGUGGGUUCGAAUCCUACAUCCUCCGCCA